AGGAGAAGGAAAGGAAUUACCUUAAGAUAAGAAUCGAUUGCUCUAUAGAGUCCAUCGUCGCAGGUCCUUGCGGAUUCAGGCAAAGCUUCUGCCAGUACCUGGAACUUCGUCAGUGAAAGGUUUCUAUCUCUUGACACCUCUAAAAUGCUCGAGAAGUCUCUGAACAAGAUCCACAUCAAACAAAGUUUCAUUUUUAUUGUAAGAAGGUACUAGAAGGUCUGCCAAAGUAGCCUGUUCAAACUGCAUUCCGACGCGCUUCUCCAAUUCAGUAACCAGAGCAGGUGCCACUUUCAACAUGUUUGCCAUUCUCAGCAGGCGAAGAAGGAAGCUGCAAGAGACACUAUCCUUCUGUGGCGGGAUUAUGCUGAUUAGGCUCUCGAUGAUCAUCCGUUGAUCUUUGGCCUGAACUGUUGGGGUGUCAUCUUUAGUUCCUGCCACAAUCAUAUGGAGUCCACCUUUCCAACUGAUGCCUCCACUACUACUAUUACUAUUACUGUUGCUGCUAUUGCUUGCUUCAUCUAUAAAACCUCCCCCAUUUUGAAUCAAACCUGGAAGCCAUUUUCCUGCAUAAUGCACUAUUGCAGCUCCAAUCAAUUCAAACCUCAUACCCUUUACCUUGAUUGCAGUAAUGACUCUAACAAAGUGAUCAAUCCUAAGGAUUGAAACAUCUUCAAACCACCAAUCAGGAGGAACUUGGGAGUUUCUACUAGGACUUGAAUCCUUCAUCUCAUUCCAUUUUGGACUAGAAACUUUAGGGGGUUUUCCUUUGUAUGCCCACCUUAUUCCUUUAGGAUUGGCACAAGCCUUCCAAGCAAUGGACUCGCUGCAUCUUCGAACAAUCUGAAGGUUCUCCGCCCAUGGUGAGAGCUUCUCACUGCUUUUCAAUACCAAUAUAGAAUCUCUCCAUGAAGAUAGCACCACGUAACUGAGAAAUGCUUCGGUUUUGAAAAUAAGAUUGCCUUCUUCCAAGUCCUCUGUCAUUUCAAGGUACUCUGCAGCACAUCUGAGGCCAGAGAUAUUGGCUGCUGUUAGAUCAACAGCAAUUCCAUAGCAGAAUUUUGCUGCAAGCUCAAACGCCUCCGGUCCACCCGGAAGAUCAUCCAAUGCUACCUUGUUAAGGUCCAGGUCACGCGAUUCGUAUAUUAGUCUAUUCAUUUUUCCACUCCUUGAAAGCAACGGAUACUUUCACAGGAACAGAAACAACAAAAAAAGGAUGCAUACCAUGAGUGGUCUCUUUGCUCAAAUCCAUCAGUCUUGACACCAUGCUUGCUCGAGGAAAGGAUUCCAUUUCCAUAAUCUCUACCAGUAACAGAUUCACUCUCAGAGUCCCACAUGAUGUCGAAACAAGAAAAUCCAAGAAAGCCUGAGCAGGGUUUUUCUCAGGAAAAGAGCCCUUCUAAAACAGAGUUGAAGCAGAGAAAACAAGCAACAAAAGCAGGCAAAACAACAAGUAAAACAACACAGAGGGUUGAUGAGAAAGAAAAGGACAAGAACCCCACAUGGGGGUGCUUGGAAUUAUCUCUCAACUGUCGGCUUCUUGAGGAUUUUCAAGAGACUCUCUUACAUUACAGUCUGUGAAGUAAUGGGCAUGGAAUUUCGCACUGGUUUUGGAUCAUUUUGAGCUAGCUUGCAUAAUUCUUAAGACACUUCUCUUUCUUCAUAGCUCUGCGCACAAAAUACUGAAACAUUCAGUUUCUAAUCUUUCAUAUCAUGCUUUUUUGUGA